rnacentral:tRNA from 1 species
GUGGGUAUAGCUCAGUGGUAGAAUGCAUGCUUAGCAUGCACAAGGUCUUGGGUUCAAUUCCUAGUACCUCCG